UACAGAGGUCUCAAGCGUUGUUCGGAUUCAUUGGGCGUAAAGGGUGCGUAGGCGGCGCGGUAAGUCGGGUGUGAAAUCUUGGAGCUUAACUCCGAAACUGCAUUCGAUACUGCCGUGCUUGAGGACUGGAGAGGAGACUGGAAUUUACGGUGUAGCGGUGAAAUGCGUAGAUAUCGUAAGGAAGACCAGUGGCGAAGGCGGGUCUCGGGACAGUUCCUGACGCUGAGGCACGAAGGCCAGGGGAGCAAACGGG
rnacentral:rRNA from 1 species